rnacentral:ncRNA from 1 species
CAGUUGAACAUGGGUCAGUCGGUCCUGAGAGAUGGGCCAGCGCCAUGCCAAGGGGACCGGCAAUGGCCUCCGUUGCCCUCAGCCGAUCAAAGGGAGUCGGGUUUAGAUCCCCGAAUCCCGAGUGGUGGAGACCAGCGCCGCGAGGCGACCAGUGCGGUAAGGCGACCCACCCCAGAGAACCCGGCGGAGGCCCCAGGGAGAGCUCUCUUUUUUGUGUGUAGUGCAGGGCGCCGAGCAAUGGGUUCGCCCCGAGAGAGGGGCCCGUGCCUUGGAAAGCGUCGCGGUUCCGGCGAGGUCUGGUGAGUCCCGCUGGCCCUUGGAUAAAAAAAUCCCGGGGAGAGUGUGUAAAUCUCCCGUGCGACCCUACCCAUAUCCUCCGGGGGU